UUGGUUAAUUCCUUCUACAAAUCGAUCAUGUGGUUGCGGGUAUCAAAUGUUAAAUCACAAUAAUACGAACGGGGGUUAUCGAUUGUAACAGAGAUAAAUAACAAUCAGAUAAGUAC